CUUCUCUGCCUCUCUCUCUCUGUUUCUCUCUCUCUCUCUGUUUCUCUCUCUCUGUUUCUCUCUCUCUCUCUGUUUCUCUCUCUCUCUCUGUUUCUCUCUCUCUCUCACUCUCUCUCAUUCUCUCUCUGUCCCACAUGAGAAGACAGUGGGAAGAUAGCCACCUAUGGAGUGGAGGAGUACCCUCACCAAAACUGAUCUCAGAUGAGACUGGAACCCUGAUCUCAAACUGCCAUCAUCCAGAGCUAUGAGAAAUGUUUGCUGUCGAAGUCACCUCGUCUAGGGUAAUGUGUUAUAACAACCCAAGCUGAUGAAGAAAGCCACUGUCUGAUUAGAUGGGUCUCUCCUAAGGAAUUGGUUUCUUGUUAGUCUAUCUUGGAAGUAGCGAAGAAUUUCUGCUCUGGGGCCUCUCUUUCAACUGAGGACACACAUCAAGACACAGCUGUUGCACCAGAAGCUGUAAUUCUGCAGGCCUGCCAACUGGCACAUUCCAUCAUAUAACAAGAAUUCUUGGGAUGUGGAAUCCAAAACACUGGCCAGAGACAUAGCUUAAUAUCACUACAGUGGUGUGGGAUGGAGUAAAUAUUAGUACUUGUUUUAUUUUUUCUGCUUCUGAGCCCACCGAAGUGUACUGCAAUCCAUCAAGACAGAAAAUCCUGCAUUUUGUGGUCCAGAGUAUUUGGAACUGAUUUAGCUGUACCUGGAUCCAAGUUGAUUUGCCUUCAAUCUCCCAGACUUAACUGUUGAAGUCUAUAGCACAUUAAGCAUUUAGGUCUACAGAGUCACAGCCAUUCACUGACCCGGCUCUAAUUUUCACUUGGAGUUAGUACUUUUUGAUUUGGGAUUUGUGAAAAGGCAAAAAUAUUUGUCAGACACCCACUGCCAGGAAUGCUGAUUUUAAUUUCGUGACUUCUACUGCAGAAAAAAAAAAAAAGUUAAUUUUCCCACUUGGAGUUUUUAUCCAUGGAUAUCAGGCUACAAUAUUUCCCCCAGAGUUAUCUUUCCUGCUUCCUUCUUUUGGCAAAACUUACAUGGAGGUGAGUUUCCUCAAUGUGGGCAGAAGGUUAAAGCAAUAAGAACUUGCGGUUGCUGGCCUUCCUUGUAGCCUGGUUUCUGAAUGCAUUUAGGUUGAUGUGGCAUCGUAACACUCUCUAGGGCUUACAGGAAAACUUCGUUCUGUUCCGGAAGCUGCUGUGAGCCAGCGGCUAUGAACUUGUGGCCCAGCCACAGGGAAUCAGGAACUUCUGAGUUAGAGCCCAGACGCCACUGAGCCUCACUGAGUGACCUCAAGCAAGUUACUUAACAUUUGCCUGCUCCUCAUUUUCCAGCUGUAAAAUGGGGAAAAAAAAUAUAUUUGCUCAUUCAAGUUAAGCAGUUUGCAAGUUGUUCCUACCGUACUGUGGGUUAAUUUUUAUGCAUGUUUUUGGUUUUCAUUUUUUGCUUUGUUUUUUCAUAACAAAUUUAAAAGGGGAAAGGGGGUGUAAUUUUAUUUUUUAAAAGAUGACACAUAAAAAUUGCCACAAUUCGAACUGAACUUAAAAGAUGUCAAGUAUAUCAAAAUAUAAAUGUAUAACCUUUUUUGAGCUGUGCUGUAACACUCAUUAGAUAUUCCCUGCCAAUUAUAGUGUGACUGCAAUGAAGAUGAAGUUUUUUUCAUGUUUUCUCUCUACUGUGGCCCCAGAAUUUAGAACAGAGCCUGCCAUACA
rnacentral:lncRNA from 1 species